rnacentral:tRNA from 1 species
GAGGGUAUAGCUCAGUGGUAGAGCACGUGCUUAGCAUGCACAAGGUCCUGGGUUCAAUCCCCAGUACUUCCA